GACAUUGUGGCGUAAUGGAAGCGCGCCUGAUUGCAGGAGGUCUGGGUUCGAUUCCCAGCAAUGCCA
rfam:Aphanomyces astaci strain APO3 cont1.841, whole genome shotgun sequence.